rnacentral:rRNA from 1 species
AUUGAAUGCUGGCGGCAGGCCUAACACAUGCAAGUCGAACGAGUGGCGGACGGGUGAGUAAUGUCUGGGAAACUGCCCGAUAGAGGGGGAUAACUAAUGGAAACGGUAGCUAAUACCGCAUACUAUCGGAUGUGCCCAGAUCGGAUUAGCUAGUAGGUGGGGUAAAGGCUCACCAAGGCGACGAUCCCUAGCUGGUCUGAGAGGAAGACCAGCCACACUGGGACUGAGACACGGUCCAGACUCCUACGGGAGGCAGCAGUGGGGAAUAUUGCACAAUGGGCGCAAGCCUGAUGCAGCCAUGCCGCGUGUAUGAAGAAGGCCUUCGGGUUGUAAAGUACUUUAAGCUGGGAGGCGUUACCUGCAGAAGAAGCACCGGCUAACUCCGUGCCAGCAGCCGCGGUAAUAC